rnacentral:lncRNA from 1 species
GGCUCUAGACAUUCAAAAAUGAAAUUUUGAUUUUGGCAAAACCUGAAACGCAAUUGAAUCCAAUUCAAAUAAAACAAAUAAAAACAAAUAACUAAAAUAAAUAAAUAGAACAAUAAAUCAAAUAUUGGACCAAUAAAGAAGAAAAAUAAAAAAGAUAGAACGUGAUAUGUAUAAGUCCUAAGAAGCCUUGAAAACAUGAAGAAUCCCCAACCCCCUUCAAGCGGCUCUAAUUUCCCCUCCAAGAUAGAAAACUUGG